UCCCAGUAUUCCCAGUAUUCCCAGAAGGAGCUGCAGAACCCCAGGUGUCUGGAGGGGGGUGGUGAGGAGCCCCCACCCCGAGUCCAGCUGGUCACGAAGGUUUUUGGGAAGUGACGAUGACAGAGGUGGUGAAACUCCUCCCGCCAGGCUCCCGAUCCCGGGAACUGCUGCCAGAAAAUCCCAAAAUUGCAAAAGAGGGAGACAAAGGGACGGGGCUGGGGAUGGGAACGGGCGCGUCCCUACGGGAAGGGGACGCGCGUGGGCUGGGCAGAGGGACACGGGUGGCACCACAGGGACACGGGUUCAGACAGGCCUGGGGAUGGCAGAGGGCAUGGCUGGGCCACGUGGGGACAGGGACAAGGACAGGUGAGUGCCAUGGGGACAGGAGUGGGACAAGGACAGGUGAGUGCCAUGGGGACAGGAGAGGGGGACAAGGACAGGUGAGUGCCAUGGGGACAGGUGAGUGCCAUGGGGACAGGAGGGGCACAAGGACAGGUGAGUGCCAUGGGGACAGGUGAGUGCCAUGGGGACAGGAGUGGGACAAGGACAGGUGAGUGCCAUGGGGACAGGUGAGUGCCAUGGGGACAGGAGUGGGACAAGGACAGGUGAGUGCCAUGGGGACAGGAGUGGGACAAGGACAGGUGAGUGCCAUGGGGACAGGAGAGGGGGACAAGGACAGGUGAGUGCCAUGGGGACAGGUGAGUGCCAUGGGGACAGGAGGGGCACAAGGACAGGUGAGUGCCAUGGGGACAGGUGAGUGCCAUGGGGACAGGAGAGGGACAAGGACAGGUGAGUGCCAUGGGGACAGGUGAGUGCCAUGGGGACAGGAGAGGGGCACAAGGACAGGUGAGUGCCAUGGGGACAGGAGUAGGACAAGGACAGGUGAGUGCCAUGGGGACAGGUGAGUGCCAUGGGGACAGGAGUGGGACAAGGACAGGUGAGUGACAUGGGGACAAGAGGGGGACAAGUACAGGUGAAUGCCAUGGGGACAGGAGGGGGACAAGGACAGGUGAGUGCCAUGGGGACAGGAGAGGGACAAGGACAGGUGAGUGCCAUGGGGACAGGAGAGGGGGACAAGGACAGGUGAGUGCCAUGGGGACAGGUGAGUGCCAUGGGGACAGGAGGGGCACAAGGACAGGUGAGUGCCAUGGGGACAGGUGAGUGCCAUGGGGACAGGAGUGGGACAAGGACAGGUGAGUGCCAUGGGGACAGGUGAGUGCCAUGGGGACAGGAGUGGGACAAGGACAGGUGAGUGCCAUGGGGACAGGUGAGUGCCAUGGGGACAGGAGUGGGACAAGGACAGGUGAGUGAUCCAGGGUGGAUCCCUGACAGAGGGAUGGAUUUAGGGUGGAUCAUUCCACCUUCAGAUGGCCACAGGUGAGGUCUGGGAUUUUUGGGGGGUCCCUCUCACCUGCCCGGGGGUACAGGGUUGGCAGAGCCCCGUUCUCUGGGGGUUCACUGACUCUGGAGGGAUGGAGACUUUUUUCCUCCUAAAUUAUAGAAUCCCGGGAUCCCAGAGGCUGGAAAAGCUCCAAGAUCACCACGCCCAAGCUGUGCCCGACCCCCACCUGCUCACCCAGACCAGGGUGGCCACUCCCACCCUCCCUGGGCAACCCCUGCCAAGUCCUGGCCGCCCUUUCCAGGAGGAAAUUCCACCCCAUGAGCCCCCCCUGGCACAGCCUGAGGCCGUUCCCUCUCCUCCCGUCCCUUUGUGGCACCCCCGAGCUGAGCACGAAGAUGGUGGAGGGGGCACGGCCACAUCUGGAAGGAGCGUGUGGCACAUCUGGAGCCCGCAGGGUGACAAAGGGACGGGGAAGGGUCACCAGCGGGGGAGGAACGGAGCGGCGGGGCCGGGACCGGCAUGGGCUGGCCCGGAGCACCGGGAAGUGGCUGCUCCGCACGGCCGCACCCCGGGCGGGAACGCGGCAGAAACCCCGCGGCACCGGGCGUGGGGAGGGGACAAUGGCGACAAUCGCGACAUCCGUGGGGCGGUGGGUGAGGGACAGACCCCGAGUGGGCAGAAUUCCAGCUCGGAGCUGUUCCCGCAGCCCUGCGGGUGUGAGCGGCUCCGGGGAAGCAGCGGCCGGGCACGGCUGACUCAGCCCGGCGGGGCUGCCCGGGAGCGGCCCCGGGGGAGGGUCCCGAGGGCUCGGGGGGGCAGCAC